rnacentral:rRNA from 1 species
CGUCUAGGCGGCUUGGUAAGCGGGAUGUGAAAGCCCGGGGCUCAACUCCGGAAUGCCAUUUCGAACUGCCAGGCUUGAGUGCGGGAGAGGGCAGUGGAAUUCCCGGUGUAGCGGUGAAAUGCAUAGAUAUCGGGAGGAACACCAGUGGCGAAGGCGGCUGCCUGGACCGUUACUGACGCUGAAGCGCGAAAGCCAGGGGAGCGAACG